GGGCAUAUAGCUUAGUGACAUAAGCAUCUGCCUAGCAAGCACAAGGUCCCGAGUUAGAUUCCCAGUGCCUA
rfam:Cavia porcellus supercont2_123 genomic scaffold, whole genome shotgun sequence.